AAUCUGUAUUUUCUCUUAUAUUAAGCUUCUUGGCCUUAUUGCAAUGCAAAACUAUACGGUGCGUAUACGUAACGCCCUGAAUGCACUGAUAACUACUGUACUGCGAGAAGAAAUUAUAAUGUGAAAAUUGAAUAUAAUAUCAAAUAAAAAAUAACUUACAACAACUACGGUAUGCUCACACAAUAGCAUGCUAAGUUGGCAAAGCCCUCAGGAUCUACCGCCGUCAAGGUCUAAAAAAAAUUUCCAAACGAAUUAAAUCUAAAAUGACGCCUGAAGGAGCACAACAAAAACCAGCUGAGAGAAUAGACGACAAAUUAAAGACGCGAACUCGCUUACAGUCAACAAUAAAAGCGUGACGCCUACGGAACCCUAUGUGAGUGUCGAUUAAUGCUCACUUGAAAGCAUAUACAUAUACCUAUAUACCAAAUAUAAUAUAAAUAUUAUAUUGUAUACGAAAGUAUAUACUUGCAUGUCGCUUAGAGAGUGCAACUAUAAUGAAAGAGAGGAAUAAAUGAGUGCAAUAUGAAUUACUGUAAAA